rnacentral:lncRNA from 1 species
UCUUAUCUCUUCAAUUUUAUUUACUUUUCCAAGACGCUUGAGAUUACUUUAGGGCUGCUGAAAUAACUUUGAUGUCUGCCCUUCUCUAUACUCUCAUCCCUUCAUUUCUCGCUUUCUUCCUUCAAUCUGGUUCUUUUGCCCUCUCAAUUUCUGCUUGGAUUUCUGCCGCUUCAGGGACUCGUCCGACCAGGUAGGCUCCUCUACUACUCUUCAGCGCUUCAUUUGCUAAUAUAUGCGCAAGGUUGUUUGCUAAUCUUGGGAUAUGCUCAAACCUACACUCCUUGAAUUUAAUCAGAAGUUGAUGAAUAUCAUGUAAAUACGCACUAAUCAAUGAUUUAUCGGGGCUUUUUGUUUUACAUUUUCUUAUUAUUGAUAAAGAAUCCCCUUCAAUAAUAACUCUUUCCCACUGCAUGUUAACGCCGAUCUGGAGGGCUUUCCGACACGCUAUUACUUCCGCCCCAAAGGCUGAGGGAACUCUUUGAUGAACCUCCGUACAUGAUAGAAGAACUGAACCCUCCUUAUCGCGGGCCACAACCCCAAUAGCCGCUUUACUUUGUCUACCGUCGUACGCUGCAUCGAAAUUGAUUUUGACUACCUUGUCCACUGGCUUUGUCCAUAUUUUUACAGGUAUGGAAGAUUGCAACCUAUUUUUACCAACUGCAUCAAGAUCUGAAAUAUAGCUAUGAACAAAUCUCCCUACUUCUUUUCCAGAUUUACCAUCUUUUUUAUGCAAUCUAUUGUUUCUGUCUCCCCAGAUGGCCCAUACUGCAACACAAAAGAUUCGAUGCUGAGAAGUCGAGCUUCGUGAGAAAACCCAGGUUAGCCACUGUAGAAACCCCAUUUGAUUGUCUUGCAAAAACCUAUGAAAAGAUAACUCUCUCCAUACUGUUAUUGUAGCAGGACAUUCCCGGAAAAGAUGGUCCAUAGUUUCAGUUCCUAAACUACAGCGAGGACAUACUGCCGUGUUCGUCAGUCUUCUAAGUAGCAUAUUAGCUCGCGUAGCUAGAAAAUUCCAAGAUAUCUUCCAAACUGUAAUUUUAAUUUUUGAAGGAAGAUCAAGUAGCCAUAGUUUUCUGUAGAAGUCCUUGUAGUCAUUUUGUAAAGCAUAAGCUUCAGGGUUAUUUUCAAUGCUUUGUAAUAGUUUAUAGGCGCUCCGUGUUGUGAACUCACCCGUCGCUUCAACGCUCCAAACUUGGAAAUCUUCGUGCGGUGUUUCAGCUAGUGGGAUACUGAGGAUCUUCUCUGCUACAUCCUCCGGAAAGGUAUGCUCUACCAACUCUUGUUUCCAUGUUCUGCUACUUGAAUCAAUUAGCUCUGCAACUUUACUAUCAUUCAAAUUUGAACUUAAAACUGGUAAUCUAUCACGCGGUAAAACUGGAAUCCAAUAAUCACGACUGAUUGAAAUUUUUGUACCUCGACCCACCUUCCAACAUAAGCCCUCUGCUAGAAUGCCCUUAGCAGCCCAAAUACUUUUCCAUGUAUACGAUAUAUUAUUCCCCAACUGUGAGUUUNNNNNNNNNNNNNNNNNNNNNNNNNNNNNNNNNNNNNNNNNNNNNNNNNNNNNNNNNNNNNNNNNNNNNNNNNNNNNNNNNNNNNNNNNNNNNNNNNNNNAAAUCAGCACUUGGAAAAUAUUUCGCUUUUAAUACUUGCGCUACUAAAGAAUUUGGAUUGUUUAUAAUACACCAUCCUUGCUUAGCUAAAAGUGAAACAUUAAAUUGAGCCAUAUUUCUAAAGCCCAAUCCACCCUCUUGUUUAGGGCGGCAUAAGUACUUCCACUGACACCAAUGAAUACCUCUCCUACCAUGCGUUUUUUGCCACCAAAAUUUAGCAAAAAUAUUUUCAAAUUCUCCACAAAGAGUCUUUGGUAAUAAGAAGCAUGACAUAGCGUACGUUGGAAUGGCCUGUAACACCGAUUUAAUGAAGACUUCUUUACCUCCUUGAGAUAACAUUCUAGUACUCCACCCAUCAAUCCUAGUAGCAAUCUUUUCUUUUAAAUGCUGAAAGGAUUCUUUCUUUCGUCGACCAACCAUGUUUGGAAGCCCUAGAUAUCGUUCUAAGUUUGUUGAGAUCCUAACCCCCAAUUUUGUCGAAACUUCAUUUAUUUUUCCUUCUGACGUAUUGGUGCUGAAAAAUAUGGUAGACUUAUUGAAAUUAACGCACUGUCCAGAACACUUUUCAUAUUCCUUCAAAAUUUCCUUUAGUAUACUGGCACCCCUAUCAGAUGCUUCCCCAAACAACAUACAAUCAUCUGCAAAGAGUAGAUGUGAAAUUUCUGGUCCUCUUCUGCUUGCUUUUGCACCCUUUAUCAGUCCCUUUUCUGAAGCCAAUCUCAUUAAAGAUGAUAACCCCUCACUACAAAUCAGAAAAAGAAAGGGGCUCAGCGGAUCUCCUUGACGUAAGCCUCGAGAUGGUGAAAAAACUCUUCCACUUCUACCAUUUGUAUUAACUGCAUAGGAUGUUGUGGAAACACAAGUCAUAAUCAGCUUAACCCACUCUGAUGUGAAGCCCAUUCGUAACAUCACUUCCUUCAAGAAUCCCCACUCAACCCUAUCAUAGGCUUUGCUCAUGUCAAGUUUAACUGCCAUGUAUCCUUUUUUUCCUGUGCGCUUUUGCCGAAAAGUAUGUAAGAUCUCAUAAGCUAGUAUCACAUUAUCUGUUAUUAGCCUUCCCGGGACGAACGCACUUUGAGCAGCAUCAAUGCAUCUUCCAAUAACUGCUUGUAGUCGAUUUGCAAUUGUUUUUGCCACCAUUUUGUAGAUUACUGAACAUAAACUGAUAGGUCUGAAAUUAACUAUGCUAGUGGGAUUUGGAAUUUUUGGAAUCAGCACAAUGUCGGUGUGAUUUAAAUUACCAAAACUUGCACCGUUAUUUAAAAUUUCCAAGCAAAGAUUGGUUAUUUCCUUACCUACGAUAUGCCAGAAUUUCUGAAAGAAAAUGGCUGGAAAACCAUCAUAUCCUGGAGCUUUUGUUGGUCCCAUUUCCUUUAAUGCCGCAUACAAUUCUUCUGCUGUAAAGGUUAACAUUAGCUCUCUAUUGAUAUCAGAUGAAAUAUUUUCCUUUAUUCCCGAUAGGAGAUAUGAACAUUCCGCCCUUCCUUUUGUCGUAAAAAGUUCCUGAAAAUAGGAGGUGGCCACAUCAUUAAUCUCACUCUCCUCAGUUGCUUCUCUGCCCACAGAUUUCUCCAAUUUGGAUAUUGAAUUUAUAUGUCUUCUAGAAGUAGCAAACCUGUGAAAAAAAGCUGUAUUUUUAUCACCCACUUUCAGCCAAUUUGCCCUUGCUCUUUGUUCCCAAUAUAUUUCAUCCUUAUCAAUUUCCAUAUUUAGGUGGAUCUUAGUGUCUAUAAUGCCUGCCAUUGUGUUGUCAUUCCUUUCUUUCCCCAUUAACACUUCCAGCUGCUUUGUUAACUUUUUCUUUAGCCCCUCCUGACCUUUCUUAAUCCUUCUCGCCCAGUCCAAUAAAUCUGCUUGCAACUUUCCAAGUUUCUCAGCUACUGGGCCUAUUCCUGACUCCCAAGAUUCUUUAAUUAUUUUUGCACAAGUCUCCUCCAUCAACCACCACGCUUCAAAUUUAAAUUUUAAAUUGCCAUUAUGAAUACUUUCGCCAUCUGUGUUAAUUAGAAGUGGACAGUGGUCUGACAUUGUGUGGGGUAGAUGGUUAACUCUACCUGCUGGGAAUAGGAGCCUCCAUUUAUCAUUUACCACCCCCUAUCAAGUCUUUCUCUAAUAUUUGUCUCUGGUAAAUUUCCCUUUUCCCAUGUAAACCAUACUCCCGAAAAACCCAAAUCUUCUAAAUGGCAAUUCUCUAAGACCUCUCGAAAUGCCUUCAUUCUGUUCUCUUCCCUUGGGGCACCCCCACAUUUCUCUAAAGAAUACAUGAUCUCAUUAAAGUCACCACUUACUAACCAUGGAUGGCUCUUAUCUUGCCCCAACUUUAUCAGCAAAUCCCACGAAUCACUCUUAUUGUGGACAUAUAGAGAGCCAUAGAAACCUGUAAAUCUCCACUUUUUGUUACCCUGUUCCUCUUCAACCAGAACAUCAAUAUGAUUCCUAGAAAAACUUCGUAAACUUACUUUGGUGUCUCAUUUCCAUGCUAAGCAUAAUCCUCCUUUCGAACCUUGUGCUUCUAUAUCAAUACCAUUCAUAAAACCGCAUCUCCGUCUGAUUUUUUCCAUCCUCUGUCUAUCAACUUUGGUCUCCAUUAAGAAGACCAUUUGGGGAUUGUGCUGCUUGAGGAAGUAACGCAGUCUUCUUCCAGCUCGUGGACUCCCCAAUCCACGAACAUUCCAGCUGAUGGUUUUCGUUGCGUCCGGUCGGCUUGCCUAUUGGCAGCCGCCGAUAUCAAUAAAUCUUGAACUUCAAUUUGCUCAUUAGUGUCUGUCACCAUUUCUACAGGGCCUUUGUAGUAGUCUGAAGUAUCCUGUUUCAACCUUUUAAUUUCUUCUCUGUCUCCUUUUCCUGUAUGAUCGCUGGUAAAAUCUACAUCAGUGGGCUUCCUCUUCCUCGUAUUAUUUCCAGCUUUUGUCGUUGUUGUGCCAUAUUGAAUGCUUAUCCAUUUUUCUUGUUUCUCUUGAUUUGGAUUUUGGCUCUUCUCUCUAUUACAAUUACUCACCUUCUCACUUGCAUAUUCUUUUAGCAUCUUCCCUCUUUCCUUUAAAUUCACCUUCUCAGCUUCCUCUACCUCCAAAAUACCUUCCUGUUCUGGCAUUUCCUCCCCUUCUUUUAAUUCCAAAUUCUCCUGCGGGCCCCCCUCUUCAUUGCUUCCUUUCUCAGCACAUUUAAUACUAUUGUGUGAAAUUCUCUCUUCUCCGAUAUAAGAACUCUGAACCCCAGUCUGUUUCUUCAAACUAUUAAACUUCACACUUUCUUUUCCAAUUAAUCUUGAUUCUGCUUUUAAGGCCACAGAAUAAGGGGGAUUUUCACUGAUUUUAUUUUUCCUUGCAGGUAAUAGCUGGGUGCAAUUACUCAUCCCAUGCCCCAUUCUUCCGCAUUCAAAACAGAAUAUUGGCAAAUUUUCAUACUUGAAGGGUAUCCAAACUUUACUAACAUAAACAUUAGAAACAAAAAUACCUCUUCUAAGUGGUCUUUGAACAUCCAAAUUAACUCCGAGUCGGCAGAAAUCUUCACUAAUUUCAGAUCUGAGGACCCCACCAAACGUAGAACCAAUGGCAUGCA